rnacentral:sRNA from 1 species
AUUCUGCCCCACGGGGGAAGGAUGAGAAGCUUCGACCAAGGUUCGACUCGAGCGAAGCGAGAGAACGUUGCCGCAGGCAACGGCCCGAAGGGCGAGGCGCUUUAGCGCCGAGUAAUCCUUCCCCCACCACCA